rnacentral:rRNA from 1 species
AUGAACGCUGGCGGCGUGCUUAACACAUGCCAGUCGAACGGAAAGGCUCCUGCUUGCAGGGGUACUCGAGUGGCGAACGGGUGAGUAACACGUGGGUGAUCUGCCCUGCACUUCGGGAUAAGCCUGGGAAACUGGGUCUAAUACCGGAUAGGACGAUGGUUUGGAUGCCAUUGUGGAAAGUUUUUCGGUGUGGGAUGAGCUCGCGGCCUAUCAGCUUGUUGGUGGGGUAAUGGCCUACCAAGGCGUCGACGGGUAGCCGGCCUGAGAGGGUGUACGGCCACAUUGGGACUGAGAUACGGCCCAGACUCCUACGGGAGGCAGCAGUGGGGAAUAUUGCACAAUGGGCGCAAGCCUGAUGCAGCGACGCCGCGUGGGGGAUGACGGCCUUCGGGUUGUAAACUCCUUUCGCUAGGGACGAAGCGCAAGUGACGGUACCUGGAGAAGAAGCACCGGCUAACUACGUG